UAUGCACGCUGGCGGCGUGCCUAAUACAUGCAAGUCGAGCGAACGGACGAGAAGCUUGCUUCUCUGAUGUUAGCGGCGGACGGGUGAGUAACACGUGGAUAACCUACCUAUAAGACUGGGAUAACUUCGGGAAACCGGAGCUAAUACCGGAUAAUAUUUUGAACCGCAUGGUUCAAAAGUGAAAGAAGGUCUUGCUGUCACUUAUAGAUGGAUCCGCGCUGCAUUAGCUAGUUGGUAAGGUAACGGCUUACCAAGGCAACGAUGCAUAGCCGACCUGAGAGGGUGAUCGGCCACACUGGAACUGAGACACGGUCCAGACUCCUACGGGAGGCAGCAGUAGGGAAUCUUCCGCAAUGGGCGAAAGCCUGACGGAGCAACGCCGCGUGAGUGAUGAAGGUCUUCGGAUCGUAAAACUCUGUUAUUAGGGAAGAACAUAUGUGUAAGUAACUGUGCACAUCUUGACGGUACCUAAUCAGAAAGCCACGGCUAACUACGUG
rnacentral:rRNA from 1 species